GACGAGUGGCGGACGGGUGAGUAAUGUCUGGGAAACUGCCUGAUGGAGGGGGAUAACUACUGGAAACGGUAGCUAAUACCGCAUAACGUCGCAAGACCAAAGAGGGGGACCUUCGGGCCUCUUGCCAUCAGAUGUGCCCAGAUGGGAUUAGCUAGUAGGUGGGGUAACGGCUCACCUAGGCGACGAUCCCUAGCUGGUCUGAAAGGAUGACCAGCCACACUGGAACUGAGACACGGUCCAGACUCCUACGGGAGGCAGCAGUGGGGAAUAUUGCACAAUGGGCGCAAGCCUGAUGCAGCCAUGCCGCGUGUGUGAAGAAGGCCUUCGGGUUGUAAAGUACUUUCAGCGUGGAGGAAGGUGAUGAGGUUAAUAACCUCAUCGAUUGACGUUACCCGCAGAAGAAGCACCGGCUAACUCCGUGCCAGCAGCCGCGGUAAUACGGAGGGUGCAAGCGUUAAUCG
rnacentral:rRNA from 2 species